GCCCGGUUAGCUCAAUCGGUAGAGCGUGAGACUUUUAACGUUUCUGUGUUUCUUCACGAGUGCGGAAAAAGUCAAUCUCAAGGUUGCGGGUUCGACCCCCGCAUCGGGCU